ACCUUCGGUGUCCGAGUUGUAAUCUCUAGAAGUGUUUUCCGCGUUGGACCGCACACAAGUCUGUUGGAAUACAGCGGCAUAGUGGUGAAACCCCCGUAUAUGGUGCGGACGCCCAGCGCUUUGUGAUACACUUUCAAUGAGUCGAGUUGUUUGGGAAUGCAGCUCAAAUUGGGUGGUAAAUUCCAUCUAAAGCUAAAUAUUGGCGAGAGACCGAUAGCGAACAAGUACCGUGAGGGAAAGAUGAAAAGCACUUUGGAAAGAGAGUUAACAGUACGUGAAAUUGUUGGAAGGGAAACGCUUGAAGUCAGACUUGCUUGCCGGAGCUUGCUUCGGUUUGCAGGCCAGCAUCAGUUUUCCGGGGUGGAUAAUGACGGUUUGAAGGUAGCAGUCUCGGCUGUGUUAUAGCUUUCCGUUGGAUACGCCCUGGGGGACUGAGGAACGCAGCGUGCUUUUUGC
rnacentral:rRNA from 1 species